AACGAACGCUGGCGGCAUGCCUAACACAUGCCAGUCGAACGAGACCUUCGGGUCUAGUGGCGCACGGGUGCGUAACGCGUGGGAACCUGCCCUUAGGUUCGGAAUAACUCCCCGAAAGGGGUGCUAAUACCGGAUAAUGUCUUCGGACCAAAGAUUUAUCGCCUUUGGAUGGGCCCGCGUUGGAUUAGCUAGUUGGUAGGGUAAAAGCCUACCAAGGCGACGAUCCAUAGCUGGUCUGAGAGGAUGAUCAGCCACACUGGGACUGAGACACGGCCCAGACUCCUACGGGAGGCAGCAGUGGGGAAUAUUGGACAAUGGGCGAAAGCCUGAUCCAGCAAUGCCGCGUGAGUGAUGAAGGCCUUAGGGUUGUAAAGCUCUUUUACCCGGGAUGAUAGUGACAGUACCGGGAGAAUAAGCUCCGGCUAACUCCGUG
rnacentral:rRNA from 1 species